rnacentral:rRNA from 1 species
CGACAGGCUUAACACAUGCAAGUCGAGGGGCAGCACAGGUAGCAAUACCGGGUGGCGACCGGCGCACGGGUGAGUAACGCGUAUGCAACUUGCCUAUCAGAGGGGGAUAACCCGGCGAAAGUCGGACUAAUACCGCAUGAAGCAGGGGCCCCGCAUGGGGAUAUUUGCUAAAGAUUCAUCGCUGAUAGAUAGGCAUGCGUUCCAUUAGGCAGUUGGCGGGGUAACGGCCCACCAAACCGACGAUGGAUAGGGGUUCUGAGAGGAAGGUCCCCCACAUUGGUACUGAGACACGGACCAAACUCCUACGGGAGGCAGCAGUGAGGAAUAUUGGUCAAUGGCCGAGAGGCUGAACCAGCCAAGUCGCGUGAGGGAUGAAGGUUCUAUGGAUCGUAAACCUCUUUUAUAAGGGAAUAAAGUGCGGGACGUGUCCCGUUUUGUAUGUACCUUAUGAAUAAGGAUCGGCUAACUCCGUGCCAGCAGCCGCGGUAAUACGGAGGAUCCGAGCGUUAUCCGGAUUUAUUGGGUUUAAAGGGUGCGUAGGCGGCCUUUUAAGUCAGCGGUGAAAGUCUGUGGCUCAACCAUAGAAUUGCCGUUGAAACUGGGGGGCUUGAGUAUGUUUGAGGCAGGCGGAAUGCGUGGUGUAGCGGUGAAAUGCAUAGAUAUCACGCAGAACCCCGAUUGCGAAGGCAGCCUGCCAAGCCAUUACUGACGCUGAUGCACGAAAGCGUGGGGAUCAAACAGGAUUAGAUACCCUGGUAGUCCACGCAGUAAACGAUGAUCACUAGCUGUUUGCGAUACACUGUAAGCGGCACAGCGAAAGCGUUAAGUGAUCCACCUGGGGAGUACGCCGGCAACGGUGAAACUCAAAGGAAUUGACGGGGGCCCGCACAAGCGGAGGAACAUGUGGUUUAAUUCGAUGAUACGCGAGGAACCUUACCCGGGUUUGAACGCAUUCGGACCGAGGUGGAAACACCUUUUCUAGCAAUAGCCGUUUGCGAGGUGCUGCAUGGUUGUCGUCAGCUCGUGCCGUGAGGUGUCGGCUUAAGUGCCAUAACGAGCGCAACCCUUGCCACUAGUUACUAACAGGUUAGGCUGAGGACUCUGGUGGGACUGCCAGCGUAAGCUGCGAGGAAGGCGGGGAUGACGUCAAAUCAGCACGGCCCUUACAUCCGGGGCGACACACGUGUUACAAUGGCGUGGACAAAGGGAUGCCACCUGGCGACAGGGAGCGAAUCCCCAAACCACGUCUCAGUUCGGAUCGGAGUCUGCAACCCGACUCCGUGAAGCUGGAUUCGCUAGUAAUCGCGCAUCAGCCAUGGCGCGGUGAAUACGUUCCCGGGCCUUGUACACACCGCCCGUCAAGCCAUGGGAGCCGGGGGUACCUGAAGUCCGUAACCGAAAGGAUCGGCCUAGGGUAAAACUGGUGACUG